rnacentral:rRNA from 1 species
CAAUAAGCGGAGGAAAAGAAACCAACAGGGAUUGCCCUUMGUAACGGCGAAGUGAAGCGGCAACAGCUCAAAUUUGAAAUCUGGCUCUCGGGCCCGAGUUGUAAUUUGUAGAGGAUACUUUUGAUGCGGUGCCUUCCGAGUUCCCUGGAACGGGACGCCAUAGAGGGUGAGAGCCCCGUCUGGUUGGAUGCCAAAUCUCUGUAAAGUUCCUUCGACGAGUCGAGUAGUUUGGGAAUGCUGCUCUAAAUGGGAGGUAUAUGUCUUCUAAAGCUAAAUACCGGCCAGAGACCGAUAGCGCACAAGUAGAGUGAUCGAAAGAUGAAAAGCACUUUGAAAAGAGAGUUAAAAAGUACGUGAAAUUGUUGAAAGGGAAGCGUUUAUGACCAGACUUGGGCUUGGUUAAUCAUCUGGGGUUCUCCCCAGUGCACUUUUCCAGUCCAGGCCAGCAUCAGUUUUCCCCGGGGGAUAAAGACUUCGGGAAUGUGGCUCUCUUCGGGGAGUGUUAUAGCCCGUUGUGUAAUACCCUGGGGGGGACUGAGGUUCGCGCAUCUGCAAGGAUGCUGGCGUAAUGGUCAUCAACGACCCGUCUUGAAACACGGACCAAGGAGUCGUCUUCGUAUGCGAGUGUUCGGGUGUCAAACCCCUACGCGUAAUGAAAGUGAACGCAGGUGAGAGCUUCGGCGCAUCAUCGACCGAUCCUGAUGUUCUCGGAUGGAUUUGAGUAAGAGCAUACGGGGCCGGACCCGAAAGAAGGUGAACUAUGCCUGUAUAGGGUGAAGCCAGAGGAAACUCUGGUGGAGGCUCGCAGCGGUUCUGACGUGCAAAUCGAUCGUCAAAUAUGGGCAUGGGGGCGAAAGACUAAUCGAACCUUCUAGUAGCUGGUUUCCGCG